UGGGGAAUUUUGGACAAUGGGGGAAACCCUGAUCCAGCCAUCCCGCGUGUGCGAUGAAGGCCUUCGGGUUGUAAAGCACUUUUGGCAGGAAAGAAACGUCGCGGGUUAAUACCCCGCGAAACUGACGGUACCUGCAGAAUAAGCACCGGCUAACUACGUGCCAGCAGCCGCGGUAAUACGUAGGGUGCAAGCGUUAAUCGGAAUUACUGGGCGUAAAGCGUGCGCAGGCGGUUCGGAAAGAAAGAUGUGAAAUCCCAGAGCUUAACUUUGGAACUGCAUUUUUUAACUACCGGGCUAGAGUGUGUCAGAGGGAGGUGGAAUUCCGCGUGUAGCAGUGAAAUGCGUAGAUAUGCGGAGGAACACCGAUGGCGAAGGCAGCCUCCUGGGAUAACACUGACGCUCACGCACGAAAGCGUGGGGAGCAAACAGGAUUAGAUACCCUGGUAGUCCACGCCCUAAACGAUGUCAACUAGCUGUUGGGGCCUUCGGGCCUUGGUAGCGCAGCUAACGCGUGAAGUUGACCGCCUGGGGAGUACGGUCGCAAGAUUAAAACUCAAAUGAAUUGACGGGGUCGAU
rnacentral:rRNA from 1 species